rfam:Schistosoma mansoni strain Puerto Rico chromosome 6, complete genome
AUCCGGCUGACGAGUCUCGAAGAGGACGAAAAGUGCAUCCUGGAU